rnacentral:rRNA from 1 species
GGUACAAGCGACGCAGCCUGAUGCAGCCAUGCCGCGUGUGUGAUGAAGGCCUUCGGGUUGUAAAGCACUUUCAGCGGGGAGGAAGGUGAUUGAGCUAAUACCUUUGCUCCUUGACGUUUCCGUGCCAACAAGCACCGGCUUACUCCGUGCCAGCAGCCGCGGUAAUA